rnacentral:rRNA from 1 species
AGCGAACGCUGGCGGCAUGCCUAACACAUGCAAGUCGAACGAACCCUUCGGGGUUAGUGGCGCACGGGUGCGUAACGCGUGGGAAUCUGCCCUUUGCUUCGGAAUAACAGUUAGAAAUGACUGCUAAUACCGGAUGAUGUCUUCGGACCAAAGAUUUAUCGGCAAGGGAUGAGCCCGCGUAGGAUUAGGUAGUUGGUGGGGUAAAGGCCUACCAAGCCGACGAUCCUUAGCUGGUCUGAGAGGAUGAUCAGCCACACUGGGACUGAGACACGGCCCAGACUCCUACGGGAGGCAGCAGUGGGGAAUAUUGGACAAUGGGCGCAAGCCUGAUCCAGCAAUGCCGCGUGAGUGAUGAAGGCCUUCGGGUCGUAAAGCUCUUUUACCAGGGAUGAUAAUGACAGUACCUGGAGAAUAAGCUCCGGCUAACUCCGUGCCAGCAGCCGCUGUAAAAC